CUUUACAAUUGUCCGUUUUCGUAUUGUUUGUAUCCGAAAUAAAUGAAGCUCUCAGUUAAUUUUCAUUGUUGUUUCUUUUCAGUUAAGAAGUUUUGAAAAAUAUUUUGAUUUGGCAAGUGUCUCACGGAAAAUCGAAGUGGAAUAAAACAGUUAAAGGAACACUAUCGCCAGGGUUAACGGCGCUUCAACUUGGAAUUUUCUUUUGACAUUUUUCUUACGGAUGCCAAACGGAAGAAUCAGGAUGAGUAGCUUUAUUUUUACACAUUUCUUUCCUUUAAUAUCGUAAUGUUUAAUUUAAGGAUUUUGAUAAGAGAUAAUAAGGUGUUUUGCCAAUUUCAAUUAGUAUCGAAGCUUGUAUUUUAGUAAUAUUUUACGUCAUAAUUUCAUGAAAUAAUUACUCUAUACAUUUUUUAAUAACUCACCUGAAAAUAUCUUCUUCUAUACAAUUGAUACACGGUGGUACCAUAUUAAAUGUCGUAUCAGUAGAACAGUAAAUAUAAUACGACGCUCUUUUUACAUCUGUAAUUAAUUGUAUGGAUGACAAUAUGGGAAAUUAUUACACAACAUCGCUGAUAUCUUACAUUUUUGAAUUCACCUUACGAACUCAGACCAUUUACAUUCCACUACUCUAAUACCUUUAUCAACUCACUAACACCUACAGUACCUUCCAAAUCAACCAUGGUGUCUUUUUUCUAUCUUUACAGCCGAUAUUGAAAUACUUUUGCUGACUUGUCACGUUGUCUUCCUAAAUUGUUAUACAUUUUUUAGUGUUUACACACAAUUUUUUCAAUUGUUCAAACAGUUGCCUUCUUUAUACAUUUUGCUUUUAUUUUAGAGUUUCUCAAAAACGAAAAAUUAAAGAGCAGAACUUGAUAAAAGAUAUACAACACAAACGCCUGAGAACAAUAUCACACUAAUCAAUAUAAGGUAAAAUGUUAAACAAAUACACACAGAAUAUCUCAAGGAAAAAAUAAACACCUGUAAAGAAAAAUACACCAACACAAGUAAAAAACAAUUAAAUCUUUAAAACAACACUACAUCAAAACGUGUCAAAUAAAAUAUUCAACACUACAAAAUGAAUCUAUGAAACUCAUAACGUAAAAAACUCAUACAACUGAAGACAAUACUAUGACACAUCUGGACACAUAAUAAUAAUAAAUUUAUUUGACAUAUAAAUGAAUAAAUCAUUAAAGAGAAAAGAUAAAACAUAAAUUCUUUUAGCUCAAAACAUCUAAUUUCAUUAACAACUUGUUAAAUUUUAACACUUUUGAAAGUUUGAAUCAGAAUUACCAUACAACAUUUCUAUGUACUCCCUGUACAUGUUAUUUUCAUAUUUACAGAACAUGUGAUGACACUAAUCUCUAUAACUACAUAAGUGAUUACAAAUUACACACACCAAAGAACCACUUCUUGACAUAACACUACUUGGUCUCAACAAUGCUAUUUGUUUUUUCGCCAUAAUUUACCAUCUCUUAGAUAGUCUGCCAUGCCAAAAUUAAAAUUUACCUUACUAUAUUAGCGUAACAAUGCAGAAUUAUUCAACACAUUCCUCAUCUCUUGUAGUUUCAAUUCUAUACAUUUUAAAACAAUGGACAGUAUUCUUUCUUUCCAUCUAUCAAUUUGUUUCUGAAUAACCAGAUCGUUAAAUUUCAUUCGCUCCAGCCAGUAUUUGAAAUCUAACCACCAUGACUUACUUUGAAUUUAUCUGCAUUCUUUUCAUACGGAUUCUGGGUAGCCUGUCUUUAGAUAAUUCCAGUAAUUUUACAUAGUACUUUAGAACUGCUUUUAUAAAAAAGAUUUUCAACGGUACCCGUCCAGUUUUCGAUAAAACAGCAACAUUCGAUGCGCGAAAUCUGAGGCCCAACAUUUUCUUCAAAAAUUCUCUAUGGACUAACUCAAAGUUAUUAACAUUGGCCAAAUCCCAAACCUGAACGCCAUAAGACAUAACGGAUUUAACUGUUAAAUCAAAUAACGUGAAAUGUAGAGAAUACAAGACUAACCCUGAUAUGUUAAAAAUUUAAAAUAAUUUCGCCAAAGCACCUUUAGCUUUCCUCGCGAUAAUCUCGAAGUGGUAUAUCAUAUUAUAUAAUUAAACAAAAUACGCAGAUUCUUGCAUUUUUCAGCUAUUUCAAUUACUUCUUCAACCAAACUACAACUACUUUCAGCUAUUCCAACUACUUCUUCAACCAAAAACCAUUUACAUUUGCUUGUUUUUUGUUUUUUUAUUACCAUUCUGAAAGACCACUAUCUUUGUUUUUUUAAUAAUAAUCUGCAAGUGCAUAUCAUUUGAAAACCUCAGCAGAUCAUCAAUCGCCAACUGCACUUCUAAACGAUCUGUCAGCCACAAUCACCACAUCGUCUGCAUCUAACAGAGCCUUAAUGGAAACAGUAGUGGACUCAACGGAUAUUCCUGCCGAACUUUUUUGUCACAGUGGAAGUAUUCUGAAAAAGUUCCAUUAACCAACAUAAAUGCAGACGUGUUCGUGUACAUCGAUCUUAACAGAUUUACAAUUUUGUAACUUAAUCUCAAAUCAGAAGUCUCCUCCAUAAUUUCAGAUGAUUCACUGAGUCGAAUGCAGCUCUAAAAUCCACAAAAUAAGUAUACACUUUUCGACUUUUUUUGCAAGCUUUACUUUUAACAAAAUCCGUAAAACAAAUAUAUGGUCCACUAGAAUACCCUUAGCGGAAACCCGCUUGCAUCUCGAAUAAGAUUUUCUCACUCUCUUCCCAUAACAACAGUUUUUUAUAUAGGAUCAUUGAGAAGAUUUUACCAACUGUGAACAAAAAUUCGUUAAAAAUGUUCAACAAUUUCUACCUUAAUCGCUCGUAAGCCCACUUCCAACAUUCCAUCGAAAUACCUUCCGGUCCAGCCGCUUUAUCUGACCUGGCUUCUCUCAAAAGAGAAUCUAGUUCAUGAGAAAUAUCCGUAUCUAGAUAACUUACAGAUCUCUAAACAAACAAUUUCUUUAACUAGAUUAUCACUGAACAAUAAACUUUUGAAGUGCAUAAACAAAUUAGUUUUAAUCUCCUUCGAAAUACAGGGUUUUAAAAGUAUAUUUUCUAUGUACAUUUUCCUUAACUUGACCAUUCACAAUCAGCAGACCUUUUGCUUGGCUUAAUUCCACUUACUUCAAUCCAAUCUUGUUGAUACAUUUGUCUUCCGAACUCCGGUAAACACUUUAAUCCAACAAUGGGAAAACAUCACCUUCUCAUUCCAUUUCAUUCAAAGUUCCAAUUCUACCGUUAAAGUCUCCCAAUAAAUAUAUGUCCUCAUUUUGAAAAGAAUUAAACAAUGUCUCAAGUAAUUUAAAACAUUUAGCGUAAACUUCUAUUCUAAUAUAAACAAAAAUAAACUUAAUGUUUUUCCAACGUAUUUCAAAUAACCAAUCUUCAAAGACACGAACCACAACAUGCUUGAGUUCUUUAUUAACCAUCAAUACCAUCCCAUCUGUUCUCCGCCCUUUAUCAAGUAUUCUAGUAGCGUUAAUUUUGUUAAAAUCGUAUGCCUUACUUAUCAAUCGUAUCAAUCGGUGGCUUUCUUGUAUCCAUUUCACCUAACCAUGUUUCCAUCCAACAUAAAGUAUGGAACUUUUUCAUAUUAUUUCAAUACUGCAUUUCAUAUUCCUGUUUCUAUCCAUUUAUGUUCCAACUAAGAACUUUUAUUGUAUCAUGCUUACUCCUAAAAAUAAUCGCUAACACAAUUAUUCUUAUCUUUAUCCCUGGCAACCUUACGAAAGUUUUCAGUUAUCACCAAUUUAUCACCUCUAAAAUAUGCAAUUUUUCCUUCUUUUCUGGCCUGUGUUAAAUUAUCCAUAAUGUUCUUUGCUCUUCUGCCUACAUUCAACGAAAAGAUCCCUUCUUAUGCGCACUGCCUUUCUCCAGUCACAGGCAGGAAAUUUAUCACAAAUACUCUUCCAACCAUUCGAUAUUUCUCUUUUCGCUGCCAAAGAAAUGCAUUUAACCGAAACCACCGAAUUCUUACUUGUAUUUUUUGUCAGUCUAACACAAUCAAGAAAGACAUUCGAUAAACCAACAUCUUCCCUAAAUAGCUUCGAUUCUCUAUCGAAUAAAUUUUCUCUAUGAUUCGUCUCCACAUUAAUAUAAAUUUUUUUUCCCUUAGCUUACUUUCAAGUGUAAUUGAUUUUUUUACAUAAACCAGUAAUAAACUGCAUAUUGUUGCAGUGAAUACCACAGUCAUGAACGGAUUCUAAUUUAUUAAUUCUCUCUGUCGAUAUAUUAAUCUUAUUAAUAAUAUCCACAAAAUUGACUUUUAUUAAACACAAUUCCGUGUCUAUUUUUCAUUCUGAAGCAUCCUUUAUUACGCUUAACAUACCUCUUAUUUCUUUUAAAAAUAAUUUAUGAUCCAAAUACUUGCUAGUGUCUCUCACUUUACCAGCACUUCCGGAGGAGCAAGAAGGAAAACGUUUACCUGGAGCUAUUCUUUAAUAACAUAUAACACUCUUCUUAAAA